GAUGAAGAACGCAGCGAAAUGCGAUACGUAAUGUGAAUUGCAGAAUUCAGUGAAUCAUCGAAUCUUUGAACGCAUAUUGCGCUCUUUGGUAUUCCGAAGAGCAUGCUUGUUUGAGUAUCAGUAAACACCUCAAAACUUUUGAUUUUUUUUUAAAAAAAAAAGGUUUUGGACUUGAGCAAUCCCAACACCAAUCUUUUUUAGAUCGGUGGCGGGUUGCUUGAAAUGCAGGUGCAGCUGGACAUUCUCCUGAGCUAAAAGCAUAUUUAUUUAGUCCCGUCAAACGGAUUAUUACUUUUGCUGCAGCUAAUAUAAAGGGAGUUUGACCGUAUUGGCUGACUGAUGCAGGAUUUCACAAGGGUCGGCAACGAUUCUUGUAAAACUCGAUCUCAAAUCAAGUAAGACUACCCGCUGAACUUAAGCAUAUCAAUAAGCGGAGGA
rnacentral:misc_RNA from 1 species